GGUCGGAUCCCGCCCUUGGACUGUAUAUGCCCCUUGGACUUCUUGGUUAUUGGAAGGGAAGGAGUAGCUUCAAGAGUAAAAUAAGUGGGAGAAACAUGCACAAUCUAACACUGCAAAGGAAGAGUGCUGUGAUUUUCUUCCCCAUUUGAGAAGCUCCGUGAAAAGGAAACCAUUGAUGAGAACAAAUGCAGACAUGACAGGUUGAUGCCCCAGCAGUUACGGAGAAGAAGAAAAUUUUAUAUCACAGUGGCCCCACUAAUUACCUUUGUCUCCAAGUUCCC